AAAGCCUGAUCCAGCCAUGCCGCGUGUGUGAAGAAGGUCUUCGGAUUGUAAAGCACUUUAAGUUGGGAGGAAGGGCAGUAAGUUAAUACCUUGCUGUUUUGACGUUACCAACAGAAUAAGCACCGGCUAACUUCGUGCCAGCAGCCGCGGUAAUACGAAGGGUGCAAGCGUUAAUCGGAAUUACUGGGCGUAAAGCGCGCGUAGGCGGACUUUUAAGUCAGGGGUGAAAUCCCGGGGCUCAACCUCGGAACUGCCUUUGAUACUGGAAGUCUGGAGUCCGAGAGAGGUGAGUGGAACUCCGAGUGUAGAGGUGAAAUUCGUAGAUAUUCGGAAGAACACCAGUGGCGAAGGCGGCUCACUGGCUCGGUACUGACGCUGAGGUGCGAAAGCGUGGGGAGCAAACA
rnacentral:rRNA from 1 species